GCACCUGAAUCUUUCCCAUUCUUUGCUGCUUUGUGCUGGUGUGGGGACAGAUGGUGCCACAGCAUGAGCAGAGGAAAUCCAGACGGGUUGUCUUCCAUUUGUCUUGAGGCCUGUCUCUACAACUCUGCCACACUU
ensembl:snoRNA SNORA55 small nucleolar RNA, H/ACA box 55